AGUUGCAAGCGCGGCGCUCACCAGGCCCGCCAGGAAUAAUCCUGGAAGUCCUGGUAGAUGUCCAGCGACGUCCAUCACGUAGUACGAAUCUUCCCGUAUUAGACGAUCCUAUAAUUUGCAACAAGAUAGAAUAGCAGGCACUGACAGAAAUCGCUGCACAGUACCCGGAUGAAUAGCGAGAUGACCGAGCCACGUUGCUGUCAUGCCUACAAGCAUGCCCCAGAAAGUGUUUCUUGCGAAUGGGCUUGGAUCCAUGCUAUAUUAAUA